GACGAACGCUGGCGGCGUGCUUAAUACAUGCAAGUCGAGCGAGGUUACUGUUUUGGAUCCCUUCGGGGUGAAGAAGCUUUAACCUAGCGGCGGACGGGUGAGUAACGCGUGGGUAACCUACCCCAAAGUCCGGGAUAACAGCGGGAAACCGCUGCUAAUACCGGAUGCCUUUACCUUGGGGCAUCUUGAAGUAAAGAAAGGCAACGCUUUGGGAUGGGCCCGCGUCCCAUUAGCUAGUUGGUGAGGUAACGGCUCACCAAGGCGACGAUGGGUAGCCGGCCUGAGAGGGUGGACGGCCACACUGGGACUGAGACACGGCCCAGACUCCUACGGGAGGCAGCAGUAGGGAAUAUUGCGCAAUGGACGGAAGUCUGACGCAGCGACGCCGCGUGAGCGAUGAAGGUCUUCGGAUCGUAAAGCUCUGUCCUUGGGGAAGAAGGCGAAAGCUUGACGGUACCCAAGAAGAAAGCCCCGGCUAACUACGUG
rnacentral:rRNA from 1 species